rnacentral:piRNA from 1 species
UGCAGAUUUCAAUGACCCCUGACAAGGAGCC